UCGGUGGUUCAGUUGUAGAAUGCUCGCCUGCCACGCGGGCGGCCCAGGUUCGAUUCCCGGCCGAAGAA
rnacentral:tRNA from 1 species